GUGUCAGCCGCCGCGGUAAGACAGAGGGUGCAAACGUUGUUCGGAAUUACUGGGCGUAAAGCGUGUGUAGGUGGCUGCGAAAGUCGGAUGUGAAAGCCCUGGGCUCAACUCAGGAAGUGCACCCGAUACUGCGUAGCUCGAGUACCGGAGAGGUUGGUAGAAUUCUCGGUGUAGAGGUGAAAUUCGUAGAUAUCGAGAGGAAUACCUGUGGCGAAGGCGGCCAACUGGACGAGUACUGACACUGAGACACGAAAGCGUGGGGAGCAAACAGGAUUAGAAACCCCCGUAGUCC
rnacentral:rRNA from 1 species